rnacentral:rRNA from 1 species
ACGGGUGAGUAAUACAUCGGAACGUAUCCUGGAGUGGGGGAUAGCCCGGCGAAAGCCGGAUUGAUACCGCAUACGCUCUGAGGAGGAAAGCGGGGGACCUUCGGGCCUCGCGCUCAAGGGGCGGCCGAUGGCGGAUUAGGUAGUUGGUGGGGUAAAGGCCUACCAAGCCGACGAUCCGUAGCUGGUCUGAGAGGACGACCAGCCACACUGGGACUGAGACACGGCCCAGACUCCUACGGGAGGCAGCAGUGGGGAAUUUUGGACAAUGGGGGCAACCCUGAUCCAGCAAUGCCGCGUGUGUGAAGAGGGCCUUCGGGUUGUAAAGCACUUUUGUCCGGAAAGAAAUCAUCGGGGCCAAUACCCCUGGUGGAUGACGGUACCGGAAGAAUAAGCACCGGCUAACUACGUGCCAGCAGCCGCGGUAAUACGUAGGGUGCGAGCGUUAAUCGGAAUUACUGGGCGUAAAGCGUGCGCAGGCGGUGCUGUAAGACCGAUGUGAAAUCCCCGGGCUUAACCUGGGAACUGCAUUGGUGACUGCAGCGCUGGAGUAUGGCAGAGGGGGGUGGAAUUCCACGU